rfam:Populus trichocarpa scaffold_1_contig_68, whole genome shotgun sequence.
UCUAGAACUCGAGAUAUGGGCUGAACACUGAACAAUGUCUGGGCUGCAGGACAAAUUCUGACUUCUCCGUUGUUGCUACCAUUUGAACUUGAAAAUGGCUCUUUUAAAUCUUGGACUCCUCAUGAAAGUUUUAGGCUUAUGUCUUAGCUUUUCAUA